GAAAUCUCCAGGGAAAAGAUGAAGACGUUUUUAAUUGUUGCCUUGUGUCUGAGCUUGCUGUUUGUGGCAGCCAACGCAAAGCCACCUUUCUGUGGCAAAAAUGCGGUAUGCGUAAGGUUUGAACCCAACUUGCAGGUUCGAUAUGAUGGCUCCUGUAAACUACCAAUGUGGCAAUGUUUGUGCCUGCCAUACUACUAUGGUGAUCCGUACGACGAAUGUUAUACGGAGACUCCGUGAGACAAGAUAAAAGAGAGACGGAAAGCUGUUUUAAUGUGACACGGAAUUAACCACAAAUACUAUAGCUUUAUUAGGACAGACGGCGGAAUAUAAAAAGAGCAUGGUGAUUUAUUAUUGGCUUAAAGUUUCUGUGAAACCCCAAUGCAAUAGCCAUUUAGAAAAAUUCGCAAGUUGUACUAUUAUUAGUUCGUCAUAUGUGUGAAUUUUGUCCUUAUUGGGGACUGAAAGAAGUAUAAUAAGUAAUAAAAUGUUCUCUAA